UAAUGAUCAACUUGGGUGCAGUUUUCUCCAUGAGGUUGAGCAAAGAUAGAGGAGGUGCUAUGCAUGCCACAGUCUUCUUCAUCAUCUUCGAUUUGCUCAUCUUCUUGGCAGGCUCAUAGAAAUUUGCGAGGACUCAGAGAACUGGAUUGCUAUAACAUCUUUCUAAGAUCUGCUUCAGGCAAUGCAUUUCAGCAAAGAACAAGCCAUGGAAGAUCGCAGUUGGGCUUUUUCUGCCUCUUUCCACUUGUGCAGAAUAUGGUGGUGUCAGCAGGUUCCAGACUGCACAUUCUCCAUCCCAGUGACCAUUCCCAUUCACUAGCCAGAGUCAGGCCCAAAGGCCUUCAGGAGCUGGGCCACAUUUUGAUUAAAAGUGAGUGAUGGGGCAGUGGAAAUAUACAGAAUGCUUAAUAGCAUUUAAAUUAAAUAAUAUUAAUGGCCAAACUAAAUAUAGCCAUAGUUAUCAGGCCAAAUAUAGCGUUGAGUUACCAUUUUAAGAUCCCUUGACCAAUCUUUCUUAGACCAUUUCCGAAAUUCAGGGGACAUCUAGCUUUGUCAGCAGGGAUAAGACUAGGUGAGGUGAUAAAGCCUCAGAUGCAUAAUUUAAGAUGAUGUCUAAAAAGAUCAAUAAUCAGAUAAAUGCUAUUUCAAAGCAAUGUUUUUUUUUUUAAAGAUUUUAUUUAUUUGAGAUAAAGAGAGUGUGAG
rnacentral:lncRNA from 1 species